rnacentral:rRNA from 1 species
GACGAACGCUGGCGGCGUGCCUAAUACAUGCAAGUUGAGCGCUGAAGGUUGGUACUUGUACCAACUGGAUGAGCAGCGAACGGGUGAGUAACGCGUGGGGAAUCUGCCUUUGAGCGGGGGACAACAUUUGGAAACGAAUGCUAAUACCGCAUAAAAACUUUAAACACAAGUUUUAAGUUUGAAAGAUGCAAUUGCAUCACUCAAAGAUGAUCCCGCGUUGUAUUAGCUAGUUGGUGAGGUAAAGGCUCACCAAGGCGAUGAUACAUAGCCGACCUGAGAGGGUGAUCGGCCACAUUGGGACGGAGACACGGCCCAAACUCCUACGGGAGGCAGCAGUAGGGAAUCUUCGGCAAUGGACGAAAGUCUGACCGAGCAACGCCGCGUGAGUGAAGAAGGUUUUCGGACCGUAAAACUCUGUUGGUAGAGAAGAACGUUGGUGAGAGUGGAAAGCUCAUCAAGUGACGGUAACUACCCAGAAAGGGACGGCUAACUACGUG